GUCUAUUUUUGGCCUGUUGGCUAAGAUCAAGUGUAGUAUCUGUUCCUACCAAUUACUAUCAGAUAUAUGGCUCCUAUUCGAGAACCAUAUAUUGAUUGGAUUUUUCAGAAUGGGGGCAAUUUUUGAAGCUUGCAUCCAUGGAAUGCUUGGCUUUUGUUCAGAGUAUUGCGACACAAGCCCUUG